GACGAACGCUGGCGGCGUGCUUAACACAUGCAAGUCGAACGGAAAGGCCCUGCUUUUGUGGGGUGCUCGAGUGGCGAACGGGUGAGUAACACGUGAGUAACCUGCCCUUGACUUUGGGAUAACUUCAGGAAACUGGGGCUAAUACCGGAUAGGAGCUCCUGCUGCAUGGUGGGGGUUGGAAAGUUUCGGCGGUUGGGGAUGGACUCGCGGCUUAUCAGCUUGUUGGUGGGGUAGUGGCUUACCAAGGCUUUGACGGGUAGCCGGCCUGAGAGGGUGACCGGCAACAUUGGGAUUGAGAUACGGCCCAGACACCUACGGGAGGCAGAAGUGGGGAUUAUUGCACAAUGGCGGAAGCCUGAUGCAGCAACGCCGCGUGCGGGAUGACGGCCUUCGGGUUGUAAACCGCUUUCGCCUGUGACGAAGCGUGAGUGACGGUAAUGGGUAAAGAAGCACCGGCUAACUACGUG
rnacentral:rRNA from 1 species